rnacentral:rRNA from 1 species
GAUGAACGCUGGCGGCGUGCCUAAUACAUGCAAGUCGAACGAAACUUCUUUAUCACCGAGUGCUUGCACUCACCGAUACAGGGUUGAGUGGCGAACGGGUGAGUAACACGUGGGCAACCUGCCCAAAAGAGGGGGAUAACACUUGGAAACAGGUGCUAAUACCGCAUAACCAUGGUUACCGCAUGGUAACUAUGUAAAAGGUGGCUGUACUACCGCUUUUGGAUGGGCCCGCGGCGCAUUAGCUAGUUGGUAGGGUAAAGGCUUACCAAGGCAAUGAUGCGUAGCCGAAUUGAGAGGUUGAUCGGCCACAUUGGGACUGAGACACGGCCCAAACUCCUACGGGAGGCAGCAGUAGGGAAUCUUCCACAAUGGGCGAAAGCCUGAUGGAGCAACGCCGCGUGGGUGAAGAAGGUCUUCGGAUCGUAAAACCCUGUUGUGAGAGAAGAAAGUGCGUGAGAGUAACUGUUCACGUUUCGACGGUAUCUAACCAGAAAGCCACUGCUAACUACGUG